AAGUUUCCAAGGGCGCAUGGUGGAUGCCUUGGCAACAGGAGCCGAAGAAGGACGUGGGAAUCUGCGAUAAGCCUGGUGGAGUCGAUAACCGGACGUUGAGACCAGGAUUUCCGAAUGGGGAAACCCCGCACGACGUGUCGUGUGACCCCCGGUUGAACACAUAGACCGGGUGGAGGGAACGUGGGGAAGUGAAACAUCUCAGUACCCACAGGAAGAGAAAACAAAAGUGAUUCCGUUAGUAGUGGCGAGCGAAACCGGAACAGGCUAAACCGAGUACGUGUGAUAUCCGGCAGGAGUUGCGUAUUCGGGGUUGUGGGACUUUUCAGGCUGCUCUGCCGAGCAGCCGGCGUUACAAGAAGGUAUAGACGAACUGGAUUGAAAGCCAGGUCAUAGAGGGUGCCAACCCCGUAGUCGAAAUGCCUCCCUUGACGCGAAGAGUAUCCCAAGUAGCACGGGGCCCGAGAAAUCCCGUGUGAAUCUGUCAGGACCACCUGAUAAGCCUAAAUACUCCCAGAUGACCGAUAGCGGACAAGUACCGUGAGGGAAAGGUGAAAAGAACCCCGGGAGGGGAGUGAAAUAGAACAUGAAACCAUAAGCUUACAAGCAGUAGGAGGACGAUUUAACGUUUGACUACGUUCCUGUUGAAGAAUGAGCCGGCGACUUAUAGGUAAUGGCUUGGUUAAGAUAGUGAAUAUUGAAGCCAUAGCGAAAGCGAGUCUGAAAAGGGCGUUUGUCAUUAUUUAUAGACCCGAACCCGGAUGAUCUAACCAUGGCCAGGUUGAAGCUUAGGUAAAAUCAAGUGGAGGACCGAACCGACUGAUGUUGAAAAAUCAGCGGAUGAGUUGUGGUUAGGGGUGAAAUGCCAAUCGAAUCCGGAGCUAGCUGGUUCUCCCCGAAAUGUGUUUAGGCGCAGCGGUUAAUGUUUAAAUUUAGGGGUAAAGCACUGUUUCGUUGCGGGCUGGUAAUACGGUACCAAUUCGAGGCAAACUAAGAAUACUAAAUUGCAUAAUUAAUCAGUAAGACCGUGGGGGAUAAGCUCCAUUGUCAAGAGGGAAACAGCCCAGACCAUCAGUUAAGGCCCCUAAAAAUUACUAAGUGCAAAAGGUGGUGGGAGUACAUAAACAACCAGGAGGUUUGCUUAGAAGCAGCAAUCCUUUAAAGAGUGCGUAAUAGCUCACUGGUCGAGUAAACCUGC
rnacentral:rRNA from 1 species